rnacentral:rRNA from 1 species
CAACGAAUAUUCCGCAAUGGGCGAAAGCCUGACGGAGCGACGCCGCGUGAGGGAUGAAGUCCCUUCGGGAUGUAAACUUCAAUAGUACGCCAGGAACCAAUCCUGGCUAAUAAGCAGGAAAGUUGACCAGCGUACGAAAGAGGCGGCUAACUCCGUGCCAGCAGCCGCGGUAAUACGGAGGCCUCGAGCGUUGUUCGGAAUCACUGGGCUUAAAGCGCGUGUAGGCGGAACGGUAAGUACUGAGUGAAAUCCCCGGCUUCAAUCCGGGAACUGCUUGGUAUACUGCCGUUCUUGAGGCAGGUAGGGGUCACUGGAACCUUAGGUGGAGCGGUGAAAUGCGUAGAUAUCUAAGGGAACGCCUGUGGCGAAAGCGGGUGACUGGGCCUGUCCUGACGCUGAGACGCGAAAGCGUAGGGAGCAAACG